rnacentral:rRNA from 1 species
UACGUAGGUGGCAAGCGUUAUCCGGAUUUAUUGGGUGUAAAGGGCGUGUAGGCGGGAAUGCAAGUCAGAUGUGAAAACUAUGGGCUCAACCCAUAGCCUGCAUUUGAAACUGUAUUUCUUGAGUGCUGGAGAGGCAAUCGGAAUUCCGUGUGUAGCGGUGAAAUGCGUAGAUAUACGGAGGAACACCAGUGGCGAAGGCGGAUUGCUGGACAGUAACUGACGCUGAGGUUCGAAAGCGUGGGUAGCAAACAGG